UGGGGAAUAUUGGGCAAUGGGGCGCAAGCCUGACCCAGCAACGCCGCGUGAAGGAAGAAGGCUUUCGGGUUGUAAACUUCUUUUGUCAGGGACGAUAAUGACGGUACCUGACGAAUAAGCCACGGCUAACUACGUGCCAGCAGCCGCGGUAAUACGUAGGUGGCAAGCGUUGUCCGGAUUUACUGGGUGUAAAGGGCGUGUAGGCGGGAUCGCAAGUCAGAUGUGAAAACUAUGGGGCUCAACCCAUAGCCUGCAUUUGAAACUGUGGUUCUUGAGUGAUGGAGAGGCAGGCGGAAUUCCUAGUGUAGCGGUGAAAUGCGUAGAUAUUAGGAGGAACACCAGUGGCGAAGGCGGCCUGCUGGACAUUAACUGACGCUGAGGCGC
rnacentral:rRNA from 1 species